GACGAACCGUGCGAACGUUGUUCGGAAUCACUGGGCUUAAAGGGCGCGUAGGCGGCUCGCCAAGUCAGGGGUGAAAUCUUUCGGCUUAACCGGAAAAGUGCCUCUGAUACUGGCGGGCUGGAGGGAGGUAGGGGCAUGCGGAACUUCCGGUGGAGCGGUGAAAUGCGUUGAUAUCGGAAGGAACGCCGGCGGCGAAAGCGGCGUGCUGGACCUCUUCUGACGCUGAGGCGCGAAAGCCAGGGGAGCAAACGGG
rnacentral:rRNA from 1 species